CCGACCUUAGCUCAGCUGGAAGAGCGAAGGACUGUAAAUGUACACUGGCAUCCUUAGGUCGCCUGUUCGAUCCAGGCAGGUCGGA